rnacentral:rRNA from 1 species
AUUGAACGCUGGCGGCAGGCUUAACACAUGCAAGUCGAGCGGGGGAAGGUAGCUUGCUACCGGACCUAGCGGCGGACGGGUGAGUAAUGCUUAGGAAUCUGCCUAUUAGUGGGGGACAACAUCUCGAAAGGGAUGCUAAUACCGCAUACGUCCUACGGGAGAAAGCAGGGGAUCUUCGGACCUUGCGCUAAUAGAUGAGCCUAAGUCGGACUGGCUAGUUGGUGGGGUAAAGGCCUACCAAGUCGACGAUCUGUAGCGGGGCUGAGAGGCUGAUCCGCCACACUGGGACUGAGACACGGCCCAGACUCCUACGGGAGGCAGCAGUGGGGAAUAUUGGACAAUGGGGGGAACCCUGAUCCAGCCAUGCCGCGUGUGUGAAGAAGGCCUUAUGGUUGUAAAGCACUUUAAGCGAGGAGGAGGCUACUCUAGUUAAUACCUAGGGAUAGUGGACGUUACUCGCAGAAUAAGCACCGGCUAACUCUGUGCCAGCCGCCGCAGUAA